rnacentral:rRNA from 1 species
UACGAAGGGGGCUAGCGUUGCUCGGAAUCACUGGGCGUAAAGCGCACGUAGGCGGCUUGCUAAGUCAGGGGUGAAAUCCUGGAGCUCAACUCCAGAACUGCCCUUGAUACUGGCGGUCUCGAGUCCGGGAGAGGUGAGUGGAACUGCGAGUGUAGAGGUGAAAUUCGUAGAUAUUCGCAAGAACACCAGUGGCGAAGGCGGCUCACUGGCCCGGUACUGACGCUGAGGUGCGAAAGCGUGGGGAGCAAACAGG